rnacentral:lncRNA from 1 species
UUUUUUUGGUUUAGUUUAGCGAUUGUUUUAAUAUUUUGCCCUUCUUCUUGACUUGGUCAAAAAGUGGGCUUUGAGAAAAAGGGAAAAGAAGAGAUAUAAAAAGGAAAAGAUACCAACGACAGAAACGAAAAGAAAGGGAAAAGACAGAGAGAGAAAGAGAGAGAAUUGUUUGGGCACGCGCGAGGUCUUUUCAUUCUUUUCAUUUCUCCUCCUCCACGAGAACCUGCCUCCUCUGUCCCUUUUCUUUCUUUACUUUUGUCGACCACUUCCCAGUUUGUCUUUAUUGAAGUUCUCUCUUUUGCCGGCCAUAGCCUGCUCUCUGUAUUUCUCUUUUUUUUUUUUUUUUUUUUUUACUUUUGGAAAAAGUAUUUCUCU